AUGUUGGCAGUGAAGUAUGACAUACCUGGCACUGGCAUCUUGAAGUGCUUACUAGAUGCUGGUGCUAACCCCAAUAUUCCAGAUGAAUGUGGUACGACACCAAUUGAACUUGCUGCCUCUAAAGGCCGUAGGGACAUGGUUGAAAUGUUAUUCCCUUUAACCUCUCCUAUUUCAACACUGCCGGAGUGGAGUAUUGAUGGAAUCAUUUCUCAUGUGAAACACUUUGGUUUGAAACCGAUGGAUAAGCAAAAGCGUGCAAAGAAAUUAACUGAACUGAAACAGAAAGCUUCAGAGGCUUUUAAGAGUGGGCAGUAUUAUAUAGCAGCACUGCUGUAUAGUAGUGCAAUGGCAUUUGACCCUAGUCCAGAUGAUUUUGCAACCAUCUUGGCAAAUAGGAGUCUCUGCUCAUUGCGCGCUAUGAACGGAAGAACGGCUCUCGCUGAUGCUAGCAGGUGCAGAAUGCUCCGGCCUCUUUGGCCAAAAGCCUGCUAUCGAGAAGGGGCAGCUUUUAUGUUAUUGAAGAAUUAUGAGAAAGCAUGCAAGGCUUUUGCCGAUGGCUUGAAGCUUGACCCUACAAACGUCUGUUGA
rnacentral:rRNA from 1 species